AGUAGAGAGGCGACAUUGCUGGAAGUGGCAGCAGAGGAGAAAAAAACUUGCAUAAAUUAUAUGACCACAACAAUGAGGAUGGACGAGGACCAGAAUCACAUGACUGAGAAGAUACUAAACCUCACCCUGGAGAUCAUCUACCUGCUGACCGGAGAGAGAUUUCCUCUUCUGAAGUCUGGAGAUCAUAUCACUAUCACAGUGCCUCCAUGUGACGCCCUAAAACCUGAGAGACA